AUAUCAAUCAGCGGUGGAAAAGAAACCAACUGGGAUACCCUCAGUAAUGGCGAGUGAAGGGGGUCCAGUCCAACCUCGAAAGGAGAAAUCCUGUUGUGGGGUGUGGGAGAUUGUAUGAGUAGUGCAAGUUGAAUGAAGUGAGUUGGAAAACUCUGCCAUUGAGGGUGAUAGUCCCGUAAUUCAACCCAAAACUAUUCUUGUCAGUCUUUCUCGAGUCGAGCUAUUUGGGAGUAUAGCUCUAAAUGGGUGGUAAAGGACAUCCAAGACUAAAUACAAUGCCAGAGACCGAUAGCGCACAAGUA
rnacentral:rRNA from 1 species